AUGUUAGCGGCGGACGGGUGAGUAACACGUGGGUAACCUGCCUGUAAGACUGGGAUAACUCCGGGAAACCGGAGCUAAUACCGGAUAGUUCCUUGAACCGCAUGGUUCAAGGAUGAAAGACGGUUUCGGCUGUCACUUACAGAUGGACCCGCGGCGCAUUAGCUAGUUGGUGGGGUAAUGGCUCACCAAGGCGACGAUGCGUAGCCGACCUGAGAGGGUGAUCGGCCACACUGGGACUGAGACACGGCCCAGACUCCUACGGGAGGCAGCAGUAGGGAAUCUUCCGCAAUGGACGAAAGUCUGACGGAGCAACGCCGCGUGAGUGAUGAAGGUUUUCGGAUCGUAAAGCUCUGUUGUUAGGGAAGAACAAGUGCGAGAGUAACUGCUCGCACCUUGACGGUACCUAACCAGAAAGCCACGGCUAACUACGUGCCAGCAGCCGCGGUAAUACGUAGGUGGCAAGCGUUGUCCGGAAUUAUUGGGCGUAAAGGGCUCGCAGGCGGUUUCUUAAGUCUGAUGUGAAAGCCCCCGGCUCAACCGGGGAGGGUCAUUGGAAACUGGGAAACUUGAGUGCAGAAGAGGAGAGUGGAAUUCCACGUGUAGCGGUGAAAUGCGUAGAGAUGUGGAGGAACACCAGUGGCGAAGGCGACUCUCUGGUCUGUAACUGACGCUGAGGAGCGAAAGCGUGGGGAGCGAACAGGAUUAGAUACCCUGGUAGUCCACGCCGUAAACGAUGAGUGCUAAGUGUUA
rnacentral:rRNA from 1 species